rnacentral:rRNA from 1 species
UACGGGGGGGGCAAGCGUUGUUCGGAAUUACUGGGCGUAAAGGGCUCGUAGGCGGCCAACUAAGUCAGACGUGAAAUCCCUCGGCUUAACCGGGGAACUGCGUCUGAUACUGGAUGGCUUGAGAUUGGGAGAGGGAUGCGGAAUUCCAGGUGUAGCGGUGAAAUGCGUAGAUAUCUGGAGGAACACCGGUGGCGAAGGCGGCAUCCUGGACCGAUACUGACGCUGAGGAGCGAAAGCCAGGGGAGCAAACGGG